AUUAGAGAGAAAUCGGAGAUACUUAUCAAGCUACUCACCAGAAGAAAGAUUGGAAUCAUCACUCAAAAGUAUCUCUCAAUUUGACAGGAACUUUACAGUAGAGAGAAGAAAUGACUUCUUUUAUGAAAAGCUGUCGCAAGAGAACGAAGCAGUGAAUAUGGAUCAAGGAGUAACACCAGAAAAUGAGCAAAACUUCCAUGAAGCUAAAAAUUCUGUCAGAUAUGUGUACUGUGAAGAAGAAUCCUUGAUUGGAAGGAUCAGAUAUCCUGGACAGGGUUUUAUGUACCAGCCCAAAGGAGUGGACCUGAAAUUCAACUU